UAAAAAUUUCUCUUCUUAAUGGAUUAAUAAAAGUAAACAACAGCAGAGCCUAUUUCUUCCUCUAGGGUUUUGCAGAGUCGAAGUUUCGAUCAUGGAUUAUAUCAUUUGGACUCAAUUUUAGGGUUUCUGUCGUCCAUACUGUAAUGGAGAGGGCUUUUAUUUGAUUUUUGUUUUUGACGUGGGUUUUAUCGUGGUGGUUUGAAGGUCUUCUGCAAGAAUUAUUCGCGGAUUAUCUCAAGUUUCAACCUUUUUUGUUCUUGAGGUUUGAAC
rnacentral:lncRNA from 1 species